AUUGAACGCUGGCGGCAGGCCUAACACAUGCAAGUCGAACGGUAACAGGAAACAGCUUGCUGUUUCGCUGACGAGUGGCGGACGGGUGAGUAAUGUCUGGGAAACUGCCUGAUGGAGGGGGAUAACUACUGGAAACGGUAGCUAAUACCGCAUAACGUCGCAAGACCAAAGAGGGGGACCUUCGGGCCUCUUGCCAUCGGAUGUGCCCAGAUGGGAUUAGCUAGUAGGUGGGGUAACGGCUCACCUAGGCGACGAUCCCUAGCUGGUCUGAGAGGAUGACCAGCCACACUGGAACUGAGACACGGUCCAGACUCCUACGGGAGGCAGCAGUGGGGAAUAUUGCACAAUGGGCGCAAGCCUGAUGCAGCCAUGCCGCGUGUAUGAAGAAGGCCUUCGGGUUGUAAAGUACUUUCAGCGGGGAGGAAGGGGGUAAAGUUAAUACCUUUACUCAUUGACGUUACCCGCAGAAGAAGCACCGGCUAACUCCGUG
rnacentral:rRNA from 1 species